UGGAAGUAAAAGUCGUAACAAGGUCUCCGUUGGUGAACCAGCGGAGGGAUCAUUACUGAGUUAUCAAAACUCCAAACCCUUUGUGAACCUUACCGUCGUUGCCUCGGCGUGAGCUACGGCUACCCUGUAACUACCCUGGAGCUACCCUAGAGUUACCCUAUAGCUACCCUGCACUUACCCUGCAGCUACCCUAUAGCUACCCUGGAGCUACCCUGGAGCUACCCUGUAGUCGGCUUCGGCCCGCCGAAGGACCGUUAAACUCUUGUUUUUACCACUGUUUCUCUGAAUUCUAAACUAAAAUAAGUUAAAACUUUCAACAACGGAUCUCUUGGUUCUGGCAUCGAUGAAGAACGCAGCGAAAUGCGAUAAGUAAUGUGAAUUGCAGAAUUCAGUGAAUCAUCGAAUCUUUGAACGCACAUUGCGCCCACUAGUAUUCUAGUGGGCAUGCCUAUUCGAGCGUCAUUUCGACCCCUAAGCCCCUGUUGCUUAGCGUUGGGAAUCUACGGCGUAGUUCCUCAAAGUUAGUGGCGGAGUUAGGGUACACUCUCGGCGUAGUAAUUUCUCUCGCUCGUGUGGUGGCCCUGGCUGCUAGCCGUUAAAACCCCUAUAUUUUCUAGUGGUUGACCUCGGAUUAGGUAGGAAUACCCGCUGAACUUAAGCAUAUCAAUAAGCGGAGG
rnacentral:rRNA from 1 species